rnacentral:rRNA from 1 species
GAAUAUUGGUCAAUGGAGGGAACUCUGAACCAGCCAUGCCGCGUGCAGGAUGACUGCCCUAUGGGUUGUAAACUGCUUUUGUCCAGGAAUAAACACCACUACGUGUAGUGGCUUGAAUGUACUGGAAGAAUAAGGAUCGGCUCACUCCGUACCCGCAGCCGCGGUAAUACGGAAGAGCCGAGGGUUAUCCGGAUUUAUUGGGUUUAAAGGGUGCGUAGGCGGGUUAGUAAGUCAGGGGUGAAAGACGGCAGCUCAACUGUCGCAGUUGCUUUGAUACUGAUGAGCUUGAAUGUGGUUGAAGAUGGGGGAAUGAGACAAGUAGCAGUGAAAUUCAUAGAUAUGUCGCAGAACUCCGAUUGCGAAGGCAGCUGUCUAAGUCAUUAUUGACGCUGAUGCACGAAAGCGUGGGGAUCGAACAG